rnacentral:lncRNA from 1 species
UCUACCGUCCUGCCGGGGAAAACUACAGGUCCCGAAAUGCACCGCUACGUGCUCAGGCGCAGUGGGCCGGUGCCGCCGACGAGAGUGCACUACUCCGUGCGCAGGCGCAGUGGGCCCGGGCAGAAGACCUGGGGCGCGCUGCUCACUGCGCAGGCGCAGUGAGCCCAGGCGGGCAGCCCUGGCCAGCAGCUCUUGUCCCUGUGGCUGGAGGCUGAAGUCCACGUAGGCCCCGGCGGGGAGCCGCUGGGGUGUAGGCCGGGUGCCUUUGUCCAAGCCUGGCGCCACUGCCCAGACACUUUACUUCAAAUUUGGCUUUAUUUUCAUCAUUGAUAUUGAUUAAAAUGACAUUCACUUGCCCGGAAAGUAAAAGAGGUCUUCAGCACAAAAUAUUGCUCCAACAAGCAAGCAUAAAUCACUGAGAUUGAAAUGUCAUCUAUCUUUAUUGGCCAACCACAUAAUCUCCAUGAAAAUUCUCAACAGAGAGCAAGGAACUCACUUUCUUCUAAGCAAAGACAAUUUGGAUUUGCCUCGUGGCACUGGCAUCUCUUCAUGUCUGGACGUCAGAUGUUAGCUUGGUGCCUUUCUCCCUUAUCAGGGGGACAUUUUGAACCCAGCCGCACCAAUGUUCUCAUGGAUGGUGGCCUUCGAUUCUUCUAGAUUCAAGAUUUGGCUCUUGUACUUUUCCUGCCAGUCCUCUACAAUGUACUGGUGGUAGGGGUCAUUGGAGUGUUCCCGUCUCUUGGAUUUCACAGUGCUCACCAGGAUGGCCACGAUGAUGAAAGAGAACAUUCCAAUCAUCACCAUGAGGUACAGGAUGACAUAGUAGAAGUUCUCAGCAUCAACUUUGGCUUGGAGGGCCUCUUGCUCAGCUGUUGUGUUCUGGCGCCAAUUGUCCAUAUAAGUAAUAAAAAUCCUUCGGAAGACGUCUUCCAGCGUCUGUGUGAAAUUGGAUAAAGUAGACAUGCUUCCCUCCUGCUGCAAUUUAAAUAAUAAAAUAGGCGAACAAGGUUAGGAAAACGGAUCUUUUCUGGAUUUGGCUAUGUAAAGGUGGGAGGGAGAUGCCAGGGUAUAAGUAAUAGUAUUUCUUCUUAACCUGGCUGGUGAUUUAAUGCAUAUUUUGUUAGUCUUUAAACUGACUGCGUACAUUUUAUUCACUUUUUUUACAAUCCAUGAUUGUUACACAGUAAAAAUUUAAAUGGCAGAGAAAAUUAUAUAUAUACACUUUGAUAUUUAUAUAUGCAUGUAAAUAAAUGUAUGUGUACAUAUGAAAAUGGAGAAAAUAUUAGAAGUACAUAGAUCAGAAUGUUAACAGUGGGUGGUGUGCUUAAAGAUAUGUAUUUUCUUCUUUAUGCUUUUCUCAUAUUCCAAAUUUUCAUCAGCAGUCUUGCAUUACUUUUGUUUUUUAAAAAAUUGGUAACCUUACAAGAGCUAGAAUAAUGCCACAUUCAUAACAAGCACUCAACAAACGUCAGUGGAAUGGACCAAUGACUCAUUUAUGUUCUCUGUUUUUAGAGAAUUGUGGGGCAUUAUGAGAUAACAUCAAGAGAAAAGAUUGCAGGGGGCAUUGACAGACUCUCCAAUUUGUUCCAUCCCCUAUGUCUAAGUGGCACAUUGUCCCAAGUAUCCUAAAGGGAGGGGUGUGUACAUCUAUAUUUGAAAGAAGCAUUUUAGAAAUGGAAGCAAAACGUUCAAGUAAGAAUUCCGCUAGGAGACGGUGCCACCUGCUGGUGGGAACAGGGAACUGAGGCCAAUCUUCUAACUCAGCCCUUGCGGUUUAACUUCACUCUUGAAUUCUGGCGCCGAGGAGAGGGGAAUCAAAGCAGCGUGUUGUGCUUUGGUAAUUAAAGGCAGAACUGGACGGCGAUGUGUCAUGGAGGCUGGCAAACCAGAACUUGAGCUCCAUGACAACAGGGACCUUACCUGUAUUGCCCAUUCUGUGUCUGGCUGGAAAAAAGCUCUCACUGUAUCCCAAAAGAAUGGUGAUAAUUCUAGAUUCUGGCUGUGAUGAAAUCAACCACCUCAUCUAUUUACAAGGUACUAAGAUUAUCAUUCCGAUGAAAAAGACUCUGGAAAAGAAAGUUUUCACCUUUUCAAAACCAUUAACAAUACAUGACGUUUCUAAUUGAGCUCACAGAGUAGGAAGCUUUCCUUGAUGCUAUUAAUGUGAGCACAAUGGUUUUGUGAAAAGCUGGAAAUGGGGGCAUUGAGAAUCUCUGGUAAUUUCAUUUAGCUAUGCACUGAGCUUCUACUUUCUCUGUGCCUGGUUCAGAAUAUUAGAAGAGAUGGCAAUGAUUCUGGAGUGGAUUACACCAUUUGACUGAGGAACUACUGGAAUUUUCUUCUUCUCUAAGAUACACACAAGCAUGACGACUUCCAAUGAACAGGCCUCACCAAGAACUCUCCAAACAUGUAGGGUUUCUUUAGUUUAUCAAUGAAACAAGCAACUUGGUAGGAUGCUUCUGAAAUGCCGCUGCUGUGAUAGAGCAAACCAAGUUUUGAUAAAGUUGAUUCUCUUCUGAUGGAGCCUUCCCCCAAGGUGCUUUCCCAGCCUUGCUGGCUUCAUGCUUCUGGGAUUGAGAAGCUUGUCACCAUCAUCAACAGGCCUAGUUUGCAACGGAAAGCCAGAGAACGUCUCAGCUUCCUUGUGUUCUGUUUGCCCUGACAUUACUGAACUUUAGCAAGACCCAAAGUUAACAAAGACCCCUGUCACAGGCCGAAUGGCAGGGUAUGUUCUUUGAUUUCUGUUAGUGGAAAAUGAAUGUAACACAGAGAUCACAUGGGCUGUGAGGCCCCCCUGUAGCCUCCAGCACCCUUUCUUCCUGGAGCAUGAAUCUGGACGGAAAUGGUGCCGUAUUAGGUUUGUUUUACAAAGAUGAUUUUCAAAGAGGAAGAGGAUCAAAAGAAACAGAAAAGAACCCCCAGCGUGCAGGCCACAGGUGUGUGGGGGUUAAAACUGGAUGGGAAGGAGAGGGGGAAGUCCUGGAACUCAAGGAGGCACAACCGUGGGGGCUUCAUUUUCCCCAGGAACUAUAAAAGGCCAAUGGGCUCUUGUAGGAAAAAAGCAGAUCAGCACAGAUGGGAGCAGAGAAAGGGCUCUCACAGCAAAUUUUGCCGGCUUUCCAGUUUUUCCAUAGAUCAGACCACUUUUUGGCCUUUGCUUAGAACCAUCAAGCUUCCUCCUUAGGCAUCCAGCACAGCUCUUUCCAUAUAUGUGGCGGUUUUUUGUUUUGUUUUAAUAAAGAAAAAUGUUUAUAAGCAUUGUACACAUUGCAUACUGGAAAUCUGCCAAGAGAGUAGGUUUUAGGUGCUCUUACCACACAUACCCCCCCCCAAAACACACACGAACAUGGACAUGUUAAUGGUUGGUGUAAUAUGUUAACGGUAUGUUAAUUUGCUUGUCUGUGGUAAUCACUCCACAUAUGUACGUCAGAACAUCUUGUUGCAUAUCUUAAAUACAGACAAUAAAAAAAGAAAAUCUUGGCUGGGCGUGGUGGCUUUUGCCUGUAAUCCCAGCAUUUUGGGAGGCCAAGGAGGGAGGAUCACAUGCCAGGAGUUCGAGACCAGACUGGGUUAACAUAGUGAGAUCCCAUCUCUACAAAAAAAAAUUUUAAAAAGAAAAUCUUUGAAAAGUUAAAAGAGAAAUAUUGAAGAACAGUGAAAACAGGUGUUAUAGAAAUCAUUUUAGUUCUAUAUAAAAACUUUUAUUUGUUUGUAAAUAAAAAUAUUUGAUAUUUACAUUC